CGACGUGGGUAACCUGCCUCAUACAGGGGGAUAACAGUUAGAAAUGACUGCUAAUACCGCAUAAGCGCACAGCAUCGCAUGAUGCCGUGUGAAAAACUCCGGUGGUAUGAGAUGGACCCGCGUCUGAUUAGCUAGUUGGUGAGGUAACGGCCCACCAAGGCGACGAUCAGUAGCCGACCUGAGAGGGUGACCGGCCACAUUGGGACUGAGACACGGCCCAG
rnacentral:rRNA from 1 species